AUUCCACAUGUGUGUAUGUGGAAUAUAUUCCACAUGUGUAUAUAUUCCACGUGUAUGUAUUCCACAUGUAUAUAUUCCACAUAUGUAUACAUUCCACGUGUGUAUAUAGUCCCCAUAUGUAUACAUUCCACGUGUGUAUAUAUUCCACAUAUGUAUACAUUCCAUGUAUGUAUGCAUAUAUGUAUUCCAUAUAUGUAUAUAUUCCAUAUACCAUAUAUGUAUAUAUUCCACAUAUGUAUUCCAUAUAUAUAUUCCAUAUGUAUAUGUGUGUGUGUAUAAAAUAUAUAUUUGCCUUAAAUGGAAAUAUAAACAAAAUUUACCAACUACAGUUUUUCCUCAUUUGAAUCUAACCCAUUUCUGAUAUACUGAAUGGUAAAUUUUUAGAGACCCAGAUCUCGGAGGCUACAUUCCAUUUUUUGGUCUUUUUGUCUUUUUUUUCUUUUUUUUUGAGACAGGGUCUUGCUCUCCUUGUUCAGGCUGGAGUACAGUGGCACAAUCACAGCUCACUGCAGCCUUGACCUCCUAGGCUCAAGCUAUCCUCCAACCUCAGCCUGCCAAGUAGCUGUCACCAUAGCUGUUCAUCACCAUGCCUAGCUCAUUUAAAAAAAAAUUUUUUUAGAGAUGGGGUCUCACUAUGUUUCCUCAUCUGGUCUUAAACUUCUAGGCUCAAGCAUCUACCUGCCUCAGCCUCCAGAAGUGCUGGGAUUACAAAUGUGAGCCACCACAUCUGGCCCCAUUAUUUUAUUUUUGGUUUGUAUUAUUUUUAUUUGGCCCCAUUAUUUUAAAUAGGAAAAACAGUAUGUUUUCAGUCCAUUAAAAAAUCCUAACCAAAUUUAAUUUGAAUUCAACUUAAUUUAAGCCACCUAAAUGACCUCUAUCAGGGAUUUCUGAAUAAUGUAAAACACUCAAAAGCCAGUUAACAGUUAAUUACCAGAUAUGUUUGUGCAUGCAGUGAUUUUGAAAAAUAUAAUACAUGAAUUAUGCUUUCCUUCUAUGCUUUAAGGAACAGAUACUAUAGUGACAAUAAAUGUAAUACAUUAGUACAUAAUGGACGCAAAUGACAGAUAAAAACAGCUUUAAAUAAUUUGAACUUGUUAAUUAGAAUGUUGUUGAAUGAGGGCUGAUGGUCAGAAAUUAAUGAUGGUGAGAAGAGGUUAAUGGUGUUCAGUGAGUGAAGGUGAGUUAGAAUAAUAUAUUGGAGCAGCAAUCAAUCAAUGCCUACAGUUCUUCUAUGAUUCCAAGCAUCUGGUGCACAGAACUCAAGACCUCAAAAUUGAGUUACUGUAUACAAAGCUGUUCAUAGAAAAACAAAUGUUACCAAGAAAUACUUACCUUUUCUAUAUGCAGUGUUAUCUCUUGUCUUCUAAUACAUUAUCUUUUUUGGUUUCAA
rnacentral:lncRNA from 1 species